rnacentral:rRNA from 1 species
AUUGAACGCUGGCGGCAGGCCUAACACAUGCAAGUCGAGCGAGAGGCGGACGGGUGAGUAAUGUAUGGGGACUGCCCGAUAGAGGGGGAUAACUACUGGAAACGGUGGCUAAUACCGCAUGCUAUCAGAUAACCCAUAUGGGAUUAGCUAGUUGGUGGGGUAAAGGUUCACCUAGGCGACGAUCUAUAGCUGGUCUGCGAGGAUGAUCAGCAACACUGGGACGGAGACACGGUCCAGACUCCUACGGAGGCAGCAGUGGGGAAUAUUGCACAAUGGGCGCAAGCCUGAUGCAGCCAUGCCGCGUGUAUGAAGAAGGCCUUAGGGUUGUAAAGUACUUUCAGCGGGGAGGCGUUACCCGCAGAAGAAGCACCGGCUAACUCCGUGCCAGCAGCCGCGGUAAUAC